GCCGCACCUGCACCUCAUUUGCUUCCCCGACCCGCCCGCCGCGGGGGCGCCUUCCCUUUCAUCCUGGCGAUUAUGACAAGUUAUUAAUUGCCGCCAUUAGCCGCCGCCGCCUGCCCGAGAUCUCUGCUGCUCUCUGGAGGUGAGGAUGCCGCGCGUCUGGAUGCAGGAAGGGAAGACGCGCCCGAGCCGGCGCGGGGCAAGCGGAGCCACAAUCUGCCCAAAAGGGAUUGUGAGACGCUCCAUGUGAGGACCUAGCAACAAGCCAACCAUCAUCAAGCCAGGAAGACAGCUCUCAGCAGAAGCCGGCCACCUUGCUAUUCUCAGCUCUAGCUGGGAGCACAGGGAGCGAUAACACAGCAGCGCAACCUCGUCUAUCCUGGCUAAUCCAAGAAGAAAAGUGUGGCGAUGCAGAUCCCACAUUUGGGGGUCUUGGCUUGGCUACUUGGAACCCAGCCCACUAAAAAGGUCAGAGACUACCUGUGCAGGUUCUGCUCUAUCUGCCAUCACAUUUAUCCACCAUCAAAUUAUAAAAGAAGGGUUGGACAGUACAGGCCUUCAGGUGCUUGCCUUGCACAUAGCCAAAGCUGAUUCAAUCCCUGAUGCUGCCCAUGGUCCUCUGUGGUCCCUGAGCCCAGAGCCAGGAAGGAAUAAGCCCAGAGCACCACCAGGUAUGGCCCCCAAACCAAAAACCAAAACCAAAACUAGCUAAUGCUCAAAGUGUGUUUCCUCGCAAGCAAUAAACACAAUUUUACUAGCUCUUUACAUUUUUCAGUGUUACAUUCUUCACCUCCCUCUGGAUGAAGGGGCCUCCCUAGGAACCCAGGUGUUUUAAAGACACAAAUUGCCACAGGAUAUGACUUUCUAAUCUUCUAGAAGAUUCACUCCGCAUGCCCUUGCCCAGGAGCAGAGAGCUCUGGAAUGGAGUGUCAGGU